rnacentral:rRNA from 1 species
GUUAGUCGAUCCUAAGGGUCGGGGGAACCCUGACAGAUAGCAAGUUUCGCGCGUACUCCGAAAGGGAAUCAGGUUAAAAUUCCUGAACCGAGACGUGGCAGUUGACGGCAACGUUAGGAAGUCCGAAGACGUCAGCGGGAGCCUCUAGUAGAGUUAUCUUUUCUGUUUAACAGCCUGCCCACCAUGCAUGUACCAUCAAUGAAGUACCUAAGGUAAAAUUCAAAAAUUCAUCAGUUUUAAAAACAUUAGGUACUAGGCAUCCAAGUGUCAAGCCUAGUACCCUAAGUACAUAACCAUUUGAAUGGGUCAUGUAGAGUG